AACGAACGCUGGCGGCAUGCCUAACACAUGCAAGUCGAACGAGACCUUCGGGUCUAGUGGCGUCCGGGUGCGUAACGCGUGGGAACCUUCCCUUAGGUUCGGACUACCUCUCCGAAAGGGGUGCUAACACCGGAUAAUGUCUUCUGCCCAAAGAUUUAUCGCCCUUGGUUGGGCCCGCGUUGGAUUAGCUUGUUCGUAGGGUAAAAGCUUACUACGGCGCCGAUUCAUAGCUGGGUAGAGAGGAUGGUCAGCGACACUGGGAGUGGGAACCGGCCUAGAAUCCUACGGGAGGGAGCAGUGGGGGAUAGUGGAAAAUGGGCGAAAGCAUGAACCAGCAAUGCCGCGUGAGUGAUGAAGGCAUUAGGGUUGUAAAGCUCUUUUACCCGGGAAGAUAAUGACAGUACCGGGAGAAUAAGCUCCGGCUAACUCCGUG
rnacentral:rRNA from 1 species